AACGUAGGGGACAAGUGUUAUCCGGAUUCAUUGGGCGUAAAGCGCGUGCAGGUGGUGUUUUAAGUUGGGCGUGAAAUCUCCUGGCUUAACUGGGAGGGGUCGUUCAAUACUGAAGCACUUGAGGGCAGAAGAGGGAGGUGGAAUUCCCGGUGUAGUGGUGAAAUGCGUAGAUAUCGGGAGGAACACCAGUGGCGAAGGCGGCCUCCUGGUCUGUUCCUGACACUAAGACGCGAAAGCUAGGGGAGCAAACGGGAUUAGAUACCCCCGUA
rnacentral:rRNA from 1 species